AAGUCGUAACAAGGUUUCCGUAGGUGAACCUGCGGAAGGAUCAUUAACACAAAGUCACAGCUCAAACGCAAUGCUUUGAGCAUGUCACUUUUCAAACCCCCCUUUAUGUAAACUUUGUUUCUUGUAUUCCCGGGCCAAGUUGUUAUGUUAAAUAAUGAUUUGUGCCUGUUGGUUUCCAACCUUUUUAACCCCUUGAACUGUCUUGGACUGAAAUCUGAGUAAUGAAUUUUUUUUUCAUUAUUCUGCCAUUAUAUCAAACGCUGAACAACUCUUAGCAACGGAUAUCUUGGCUCUC
rnacentral:misc_RNA from 1 species